ACGUAGGGAGCAAGCGUUGUCCGGAUUUACUGGGUGUAAAGGGUGCGUAGGCGGAUUGGCAAGUCAGAAGUGAAAUCCAUGGGCUUAACCCAUGAACUGCUUUUGAAACUGUUAGUCUUGAGUGAAGUAGAGGUAGGCGGAAUUCCCGGUGUAGCGGUGAAAUGCGUAGAGAUCGGGAGGAACACCAGUGGCGAAGGCGGCCUACUGGGCUUUAACUGACGCUGAGGCACGAAAGUGUGGGUAGCAAACAG
rnacentral:rRNA from 1 species